rnacentral:lncRNA from 1 species
AUUCAAAGAAUCCUGUAAAGGAAGAAUUAUCUGGUGUGGUCAACUUCCGCCAUACUUUUAAUCAAGAGCAAGUUUAAAAAUUAAAUUAACUUGUCAUUAUUAUUCAUUUAAUAAUUAUUCAUAAAACAGUGUAGUCGGACAAAGGACAUCAGAAUGACUAGUCUAAAACUUGUAACUUCUUCCCUACUUUUAGUCAUAAUACUAUGUUCAUUCACAUCAGCUCUAGACACGGAUCGUGAAAUUCAUCAGGACAAUUUUGAUUUUUCAUCUAAAGCGGCAGAAUAUUAUUACACAAGUGUUGGAAGCAGCAAUCAAGUUACGACCGGCUUUAUAUUUUUUGGUAUCAGUACCUUGUUAACUCUGUAUGGAUUUAUUCAAUAAUAUUUUUAAAUUCAUCCUUUCGCAUAUCGUACUUUAUUACUUGAGAUAAUUUUUUCCUACAUGAAUUUAUCAUAAAACUAAUAAAAAUAUCGUUAAAAUA